ACUCCUACGGGAGGCAGCAGUGGGGAAUAUUGCACAAUGGGCGCAAGCCUGAUGCAGCCAUGCCGCGUGUAUGAAGAAGGCCUUCGGGUUGUAAAGUACUUUCAGCAGUGAGGAAGGUGGAUAUGUUAAUAGCAUAUUCAUUUGACGUUAGCUGCAGAAGAAGCACCGGCUAACUCCGUGCCAGCAGCCGCGGUAAUACGGAGGGUGCGAGCGUUAAUCGGAAUUACUGGGCGUAAAGCGCAUGCAGGUGGUUUGUUAAGUCAGAUGUGAAAGCCCGGGGCUCAACCUCGGAAUUGCAUUUGAAACUGGCAAACUAGAGUACUGUAGAGGGGGGUAGAAUUUCAGGUGUAGCGGUGAAAUGCGUAGAGAUCUGAAGGAAUACCGGUAGGCGAAGGCGGCCCCCUGGACAGAUACUGACACUCAGAUGCGAAAGCGUGGGGAAGCAAACAGGAUUAGAUACCCUGGUAGCUCUAGC
rnacentral:rRNA from 1 species